rnacentral:rRNA from 1 species
GACGAACGCUGGCGGCGUGCCUAACACAUGCAAGUCGAACGGGACCGGGGGCAACUCCGGUUCAGUGGCGGACGGGUGCGUAACACGUGAGGAACAUGACGUUCGGCGGGGGAUAGCCGGCCCAACGGCCGGGUAAUACCGCGUACGACCCGUUGGGGACAUCCCCGAGGGGUGAAAGCAGCAAUGCGCCGAACGAGUGCCUCGCGGCCUAUCAGCUAGUUGGUGGGGUAACGGCUCACCAAGGCGACGACGGGAGCUGGUCUGAGAGGAUGGCCAGCCACAUUGGGACUGAGACACGGCCCAGACUCCUACGGGAGGCAGCAGGUGGGGAAUAUUGCGCAAUGGGCGAAAGCCUGACGCAGCGACGCCGCGUGU